AGAGUUUGAUCCUGGCUCAGGACGAACGCUGGCGGCGCGCCUAACACAUGCAAGUCGAACGGGGUUGAGAGGAGCUUGCUUUUCUUGACUUAGUGGCGAACGGGUGAGUAACGCGUGAGGAACCUGCCUCAAAGAGGGGGACAACAGUUGGAAACGACUGCUAAUACCGCAUAAGCCCACGGUUCUGCAUGGAACUGAGGGAAAAGGAGCAAUCCGCUUUGAGAUGGCCUCGCGUCCGAUUAGCUAGUUGGUGAGGUAACGGCCCACCAAGGCGACGAUCGGUAGCCGG
rnacentral:rRNA from 1 species